rnacentral:tRNA from 1 species
UGCAUCGGCCGCGAAUCGAACCCGGGCCGCCCGCGUGGCAGGCGAGCAUUUUCGCCAUUGAACUACCGAUGC